GGAAGGCAAAAUGUUGCCACACUGGUGACUUCAGCAAACCAAGAGGAUUUUCCACUCCAGCAGUGGCCACAGUGUCUUGAAAAGUAAUGCAGCUGCAGACUACCGGCUAAACAACAGAGUACAGAGCAGAAAGCAUGGGGAUACAGUGGCAGCCAGUUCCACUUCCUUCCACAACAAGGAUCUGAUGGACUAUAGCCUCUUCACCUGUCUAGAGAGGAAUUUGCAGUGGUAUAAAGAGGACAAAGACUCAAUAAAACUCAACAGUUUGAAUCUCCUGAAACCUGAAUUCAGCCUCAAGCUUCUCUUUAAGCUACUUCAAAGUUAGAUAAAGCCCAUUUUGGCCACAUUUUCAGUGCAAACUUAAUUUUUGAAAUGUUGUUAAGGACAAGUAUAAAUGGUGUUGUAUUUCAGUUGGUGUAUAUGUCAUUAGAUAUCAUACAUCUGAAAAUUUGGAACAUAUGGAAAUGCACAAGACAUAUACUACAUACAUCAACCACAAAUGUAUGAAAAAUGUAUUAUUCUGUGUUACUUAAUGGAUUCAGCUCUGACCCAAACAGAAACAUCUGAUUGUGAAUGCUGAGCACUUUCAAAGCAGGUGACGCAAGGAUGUAUGUGGAAUAUCCUACAGGUGGCCACUCACAAAUUCAACAUGUGAGAUGGACUUAACCUUUUAC